rnacentral:rRNA from 1 species
GACGAACGCUGGCGGCGUGCUUUAGACAUGCAAGUCGAACGAGAUCUUCGGAUCUAGUGGCGAACGGCGGAGUAAUACAUAAACAACGUGCCCUGAAGACUGGGAUAUACGGUCGAAAGGCCGAGCAAUACCGGAUGUGGCCGAGACUAGGCAUCUAGACUCGAUUAAAUGGUUUUUCGCUUCAGGAGCGGUUUAUGACUCAUCAGCUAGUUGGUAGGGUAAUGGCCUACCAAGGCUACGACGGGUAGGGGGUCUGAGAGGAUGAUCCCCCCGAGUGGGACUGAGACACGGCCCACACACCUACGGGUGGCAGCAGUUUGGAAUCUUGCCCAAUGGGGGAAACCCUGAGGCAGCGACGCCGCGUGGAGGAUGAAGGAUUUAGGUCUGUAAACUCCUUUUGCCAGGAAAGACUUAGGACGGUACCUGGCGAAUAAGCUCCGGCUAACUACGUGCCAGCAGCCGCGGUAAU